AUCAUUUCAAACAAAAUCAAGGAUCAGAAAUAAAAUCACGAUGAUGAUGAACAAUCAAUAAAUCGGGUUGUAACCUUUUUGUCUGUCUAGUCAACGAAUGAUUUUUCAACGAAAUAUGAAAAUCAAAAAAACCAAAACAAAUUGAAGGUGCCAGAUUUGCAGCAAAUAUUCCAUUGAUCAUCAAUCAAUCAAUCAAUCACGCACAUACACACACACACAACGUUAAUAUUUUUGUUCGUUUCCAGUUCAACAAAAAAUGAUGACGAUGUUCAUAUCAAUCGAUUCAAUUAUUUUUCCACUAUUUAAACAUAAAUAGUGGGUAGCCGAAUCAAUCUGCAAAACAACGAUAAUGAAGAAGAAAAUCAAUUUCACUUCAGCAACAAAAAAAAAA